rnacentral:rRNA from 1 species
AAAGUCUGACCGAGCAACGCCGCGUGAGUGAAGAAGGUUUUCGGAUCGUAAAGCUCUGUUGUAAGUCAAGAACGUGUGUGAGAGUGGAAAGUUCACACAGUGACGGUAGCUUACCAGAAAGGGACGGCUAACUACGUGCCAGCAGCCGCGGUAAUACGUAGGUCCCGAGCGUUGUCCGGAUUUAUUGGGCGUAAAGGGAGCGCAGGCGGUCAGGAAAGUCUGGAGUAAAAGGCUAUGGCUCAACCAUAGUGUGCUCUGGAAACUGUCUGACUUGAGUGCAGAAGGGGAGAGUGGAAUUCCAUGUGUAGCGGUGAAAUGCGUAGAUAUAUGGAGGAACACCAGUGGCGAAAGCGGCUCUCUGGUCUGUCACUGACGCUGAGGCUCGAAAGCGUGGGUAGCGAACAGGAUUAGAUACCCUGGUAGUCCGCGCCGUAAACGAUGAGUGCUAGGUGUUAGGCCCUUUCCGGGGCUUAGUGCCGGAGCUAACGCAAUAAGCACUCCGCCUGGGGAGUACGACCGCAAGGUUGAAACUCAAAGGAAUUGACGGGGGCCCGCACAAGCGGUGGAGCAUGUGGUUUAAUUCGAAGCAACGCGAGGAACCUGACCAGGUCUUGACAUCCCGAUGCUAUUCUUAGAGAUAGGAA